GACAGAGGUGCCGAGCGUUAGGCGGAAUCACUGGGCUUAAAGCGUGUGUAGGCGGAUCGUUAAGUACCUUGUGAAAUCCCACGGCUUAACCGUGGAACUGCUGGGUAUACUGGCGAUCUUGAGCCACCUAGGGGCAACCGGAACAAAUGGUGGAGCGGUGAAAUGCGUAGAUAUCAUUUGGAACGCCAAUGGUGAAAACAGGUUGCUGGGGGUGUGCUGACGCUGAGACACGAAAGCCAGGGGAGCGAACGGG
rnacentral:rRNA from 1 species